rnacentral:rRNA from 1 species
AUGCUACCAUGUCACCAUGAACCAGCUAAACUGUUCUUCACUGAAUUCUGGUACCCACCUUGUUUGCGAAACGAGGAGAUUCAGCAAGGCUGCCUCAGUGUUUCCCCAUUGAUAAUUACUGUUGAAAUAUAUUGCCCACCUCUAUCCAUCGCAUCUAGCAAAACCCAUCCAUUGCCAGCCAUGUCGUCCUCCAGCGCCGUCCAGGCCUCCCUUGGGCAGGUCGCAGAGAAACUCACCCGCACCAACUACGUCCUGUGGCAUGCGCAGGUGACACCGCAGCUGAGAGGGGCUGGCCUCUUCGGCUACGCCGACAGCUCCAUGCCAGAACCUGUCAAGAUCCUCGUCACGAAGGACAAAUACGGGAAAGAAGAGCAAACACCGAACCCGCUCCAUCCGAUCUGGUUCAGAGAAGGGCAGCAGGUACUUGGAUACUUGCUCAAUACUCUCACCAAAGAAGUCCUCGUGCAGGUUACCUCCAUCGUCACGCCGCACGAGCUCUGGGCGGCUCUCGCCCACAUGUUCUCAUCACAGUCCCGAGCCCGCGUCAACAACAUCCGGGUUGCUCUCUCCACGGCGCAGAAGGGGACGCAAUCUGUUGCGGCCUACUUCGCCCAGAUGAGAGCACUUGCCGAUGAGGUUGCAGCCGCCGAAAAGCCCAUCGAUGACGAUGAGCUUGUCUCCUACAUCACCGCCGGCCUCGACAUGGAGUACCAACCCCUCGUCUCCGCCAACGACGCACGCACCGACACCAUCAGCAUCGACGACCUCUACGCUCAGAUGAGCAACUUUGAUCAGCGCCUCGCUCUCUACAACAACAACUCGGGCGGGGGCUUCAAGUCAUCUACUAACGCGGUCUCUCGCGGCGACGGUCGCGGCGGUGGCGGUUCACGCUACCGUGGACCUCCGCGCGGCAAGGGCAAGCCAUCAUCUGGUGGAAACAGCAGCGGCAGCAACUCCGCUCGUGGUGGCGGCAGCGGCGGCGGGCGGCCCUCCAGCAACAACAAUAGGGGUCGCCGUGGUGGUAGGCCUCGCGCCAACCCUGAUGCGCCACGAUGCCAAAUCUGCGGCAAGCUAGGCCACACCGCCCGGGACUGUUGGUAUCGCUAUGAAGAUGACGGCGAAUCCUCACAAGAUGAGAAGGUUGCAGGCGCUGCUGAUGGCUCCUACGGCAUCGACACGAACUGGUAUGUGGACAGUGAUGCAACUGACCACAUCACGAGCGAGCUGGAAAAGGUGACAAUUCAUGAGAAGUUCCGUGGGCAAGACCAAGUUCACACUGCCAACGGAGAAGGUCACGAAGAAAACUCUGUAUCGAGGUAG